CGAGCGCAACCCUUGUCCUUAGUUUACCAGCACGUUAUGGUGGGCGACUCCAAGGAGACUGCCGGUGACAAACCGAGGAAGGUGGGGAUGACGUCAAGUCAUCAUGGCCCUUACGGCCUGGGCUACACACGUGCUACAAUGGUCGGUACAAAGGGUUGCCAAGCCGCGAGGUGGAGCUAAUCCCAUAAAACCGAUCGUAGUCCGGAUCGCAGUCUGCAACUCGACUGCGUGAAGUCGGGAUCGCUAGUAAUCGUGAAUCAGAAUGUCACGGUGAAUACGUUCCCGGGCCUU
rnacentral:rRNA from 1 species